rnacentral:rRNA from 1 species
UGCCUUACACAUGCAAGUCGAACGCGAAAGGGGGCAACCCCGAGUAGAGUGGCGAACGGGUGAGCAAUACAUCGGAACAUUUCCUGUAGCGGGGGACAACCCCGAGAAAUCGGGGCUAAUACCGCAUACGAUCUACGGAUGAAAGUGGGGGACCGCAAGGCCUCACACUAUAGGAGUGGCCGAUGCCGGAUUAGCUAGUUGGUGGGGUAACGGCCCACCAAGGCGACGAUCCGUAGCUGGUUUGAGAGAACGACCAGCCACACUGGGACUGAGACACGGCCCAGACUCCUACGGGAGGCAGCAGUGGGGAAUUUUGGACAAUGGGCGAAAGCCUGAUCCAGCCAUGCCGCGUGAGUGAAGAAGGCCUUCGGGUUGUAAAGCUC